rnacentral:rRNA from 1 species
GUGCACCAGUCGAGAAAACUUUACAAUGUGCGAAAGCACGAUAAGGGAACUCUGAGUGCCUCCUAAGGAGGCUGUUCUGAUGUCUAAAAAGCAACAGAAGUAAGGGCUGGGUAAGACCGGUGCCAGCCGCCGCGGUAACACCGGCAGCCCAAGUGGUAGCCACGUUUAUUGGGUCUAAAGCGUUCGUAGCCGGCCAGGUAAGUUCCUUGGUAAAUUUAGCCGCUUAACGGUUAAGCUUUCGGGGAAUACUGCUUGGCUUGGGACUGGGAGAGGUCAGAGGUACUCCGGGGGUAGGGGUGAAAUCUAUUAAUCCCUGGGGGACCACCGGUAGCGAAGGCGUCUGACCAGACCAGGUCCGACGGUGAGGGACGAAGGCUAGGGGCGCGAACCGGAUUAGAUACCCGGGUA